UUAUUUGAGAGUUUGAUCCUGGCUCAGGAUGAACGCUGGCGGCGUGCCUAAUACAUGCAAGUCGAGCGAAUGGAUUAAGAGCUUGCUCUUAUGAAGUUAGCGGCGGACGGGUGAGUAACACGUGGGUAACCUG
rnacentral:rRNA from 1 species